GAUGAACGCUAGCGGCAGGCCUAACACAUGCAAGUCGAGGGAGGAGCUUUCGGGCUUCGACCGGCGUACGGGUGCGUAACGCGUAUACAAUCUGCCUUUCACAUAGGGAUAGCCCGAAGAAAUUUGGAUUAAUACCUAAUGGUAUAUAGAGGUGGCAUCACCUUUAUAUUAAAGCUGAGGCGGUGAAAGAUGAGUAUGCGUUCUAUUAGCUAGUUGGAGAGGUAACGGCUCCCCAAGGCGACGAUAGAUAGGGGUUCUGAGAGGGAUAUCCCCCACACUGGUACUGAGAUACGGACCAGACUCCUACGGGAGGCAGCAGUGAGGAAUAGUGGACAAUGGUCGGAAGACUGAUCCAGCCAUGCCGCGUGCAGGAAGACGGCCUUAUGGGUGGUAAACUGCUUUUGCAGGGGAAGAAUAAGGACUACGCGUAGUUUGAUGACGGUACUCUGCGAAUAAGCAUCGGCUAACUCCGUG
rnacentral:rRNA from 1 species